rnacentral:rRNA from 1 species
UACGGAGGGGGCAAGCGUUGUUCGGAAUUACUGGGCGUAAAGAGCGUGUAGGCGGCCCGAUAAGUCCGCUGUGAAAGUCCAGGGCUCAACCCUGGAAUGCCGGUGGAAACUGUCAAGCUUGAGUCCGGAAGAGGCGAGUUGGAAUUCCUGGUGUAGCGGUGAAAUGCGCAGAUAUCAGGAGGAACACCGAUGGCGAAGGCAGGUCUCUGGGCAGUAACUGACGCUGAGGAGCGAAAGCGUGGGGAGCGAACAGG